GAUGGGUUUGCAUCCAAAAGGUGCAUAGGUUUUACAUCCGAAAGGAACAUACUUGGGAUGGGUUUGCAUCCAAAAGGUGCAUAGGUUUUACAUCCGAAGGGGACAUACUUGGGAUGGGUUUGCAUCCAAAAGGUGCAUAGGUUUUACAUCCGAAAGGGACAUACUUGGGAUGGGUUUGCAUCCAAAAGGUGCAUAGGUUUUACAUCCGAAAGGAACAUACUUGGGAUGGGUUUGCAUCCAAAAAGUGCAUAGGUUUUACAUCCGAAAGGAACAUACUUGGGAUAGGUUUGCAUCCAAAAGGUGCAUAGGUUUUACAUCCGAAAGGAACAUACUUGGGAUGGGUUUGCAUCCAAAAGGUGCAUAGGUUUUACAUCCGAAGGGGACAUACUUGGGAUGGGUUUGCAUCCAAAAGGUGC
rnacentral:lncRNA from 1 species